CCUACGGGAGGCAGCAGUAAGGAAUAUUGGACAAUGGAGGCAACUCUGAUCCAGCCAUGCCGCGUGAAGGAAGACGGCCUUAUGGGUUGUAAACUUCUUUUAUACAGGAAGAAACCUUUCCACGUGUGGAAAGCUGACGGUACUGUAAGAAUAAGGAUCGGCUAACUCCGUGCCAGCAGCCGCGGUAAUACGGAGGAUCCAAGCGUUAUCCGGAAUUAUUGGGUUUAAAGGGUCCGCAGGCUGUUUGUUAAGUCAGAGGUGAAAUCCUACCGCUCAACGGUAGAACUGCCUUUGAUACUGGCAAACUUGAGUUAUUGUGAAGUAGUUAGAAUGUGUAGUGUAGCGGUGAAAUGCAUAGAUAUUACACAGAAUACCGAUUGCGAAAGCAGAUUACUAACAAUAUACUGACGCUGAGGGACGAAAGCGUGGGUAGCGAACAG
rnacentral:rRNA from 1 species